rnacentral:rRNA from 1 species
GAUGAACGCUGGCGGCGUGCCUAAUACAUGCAAGUCGAGCGAACAGACGAGGAGCUUGCUCUUCUGACGUUAGCGGCGGACGGGUGAGUAACACGUGGAUAACCUACCUAUAAGACUGGGAUAACUUCGGGAAACCGGAGCUAAUACCGGAUAAUAUAUUGAACCGCAUGGUUCAAUAGUGAAAGACGGUUUUGCUGUCACUUAUAGAUGGAUCCGCGCCGCAUUAGCUAGUUGGUAAGGUAACGGCUUACCAAGGCAACGAUGCGUAGCCGACCUGAGAGGAUGAUCGGCCACACUGGAACUGAGACACGGUCCAGACUCCUACGGGAGGCAGCAGUAGGGAAUCUUCGGCAAUGGGCGAAAGCCUGACGGAGCAACGCCGCGUGAGUGAUGAAGGUCUUCGGAUCGUAAAACUCUGUUAUUAGGGAAGAACAAAUGUGUAAGUAACUAUGCACGUCUUGACGGUACCUAAUCAGAAAGCCACGGCUAACUACGUG